AAAGGGACCCUGGUGGCUCCGGUCAGCACUGCUGACUGGGCCACUAAAUGUUCGGUUGGCUGCAGUGGCUGGCUCCGCACAGCUCCCAGAAGUGGCUGGCAUUUCCCUCUAGCUCCUUGGUGCAGGUGCAGCCAGGGAGGCUCCGCGCACUGCCCCUGCCUGCGGUGCCCGAGCACCGGCUCCACAGCUCCCAUCGGCCUGAGUGACUUUGAGAGUCUGUGUGAUCAGAUGCCAACAUGCGGACCCUGGGAAGGAAAGUCUGAGACAGAGGCUAUCUACAAUGAUAUAGCUUCUGGUAAAUGGAACCAGGAGCUGGACAAGGAAAUUGCAGUAAAACUCAUUGAAUCUGGUACCACCUGACUGAACAAUCUGUUAUCUGAGGAAAUAAAGCCAAGUGUCACUGAGUGCAGAACCACGACUAGAAGGCUGAUAACUAACACACCACCUGAUCAUUUCAGCCAAUGAGCUGGAUGUACCGUAAUUCCCAAUACAAGGCCAGAGAGGAGGAAAUGGAAAUUGUCAAGGUUCAAUAAGGUGACUUCAGAGCAUCCAGGAUGAGAUUUCAAAGAGACAAUUGGAGGUGCAAGUCUGGAUGGAAGAGAAGAAAGGUCUGCAUGCUGUUGAUGGUAGCUGAAAACAUGUUGCCUAUGAAAAGAGUGGACAGGCAGAAGACAGUGAUCCUAUAAUAGCCCAACCUGUUCCCUUUACUCCCCUUGGGCAGAUCUUUCAUUCUGCUUUUUCCCUGCCUUCGACUUUUCAAAAAGUUCUAAAUAUUGCUACAUCAGUGUGGAUAACA